rnacentral:rRNA from 1 species
CCUUUGACGUUAGCGGCGGACGGGUGAGUAACACGUGGGUAACCUACCUAUAAGACUGGGAUAACUUAGGGAAACCGGAGCUAAUACCGGAUAAUAUUUCGAACCGCAUGGUUCGAUAGUGAAAGGUGGUUUUGCUAUCACUUAUAGAUGGACCCGCGCCGUAUUAGCUAGUUGGUAAGGUAACGGCUUACCAAGGCGACGAUACGUAGCCGACCUGAGAGGGUGAUCGGCCACACUGGAACUGAGACACGGUCCAGACUCCUACGGGAGGCAGCAGCG